AUGUAAGUUUUUGCAUGAGGAGUUAUUGAUUUAAAUAAUUAAUAAUUUAUUUAAUAUUCUCAGUAAUUGAUUUUAUUUAUUAAGGUAACUUAUAAAUAGCAAUUUUUUUUAGUACUGGCURAAUUUGUGCCAGCAGCUGCGGUUAUACGAAUAGUGCGAAUAAAAGUUUAAUUAGCAGGAGUUAUUUUGUUAUAAAUUGUUAUAUUUAAUAUAARUUUAUUAGGUGAAAUUUUUAAUUUAUUAAAAUUAGAAUAUAUUUUAUUGAAGCUCRGAAAUUUUAAUGUUAAACUAGGAUUAGAUACCCUAUUAUUUAAAGUGUAAUUAUUAUGCUAAGGUAGUAAUAGUUAUGUUCUUUAAACUUAAAAAAUUUGGCGGUAUUUUAGUCUAUUCAGAGGAACCUGUCCUGUAAUCGAUAGUCCACGUUGAACCUUACUUAAUUUUGUUUAGUUUAUAUACCGUCGUUAUAAGAAUAUUUUAUUAGAAUAAUAAUUUUCAAUUAAUUUUAUUAAAUUUUAUAUCAGAUCAAGGUGUAGCUUAUGAUUAAGUAGAGAUGGGUUACAAUAAAAAUAUUUAUAUGAAUUUAUGAAUGUAAUAAUUAAUGAAGGUGGAUUUGAUAGUAAAAUUUUAUAGAUUAUAAGUUUGACUUUGGCUCUAGAAUAUGCACACAUCGCCCGUCGCUUUUACUAUUAAAGUAAAAUAAGUCGUAACAUAGUAGAUGUA
rnacentral:rRNA from 1 species